GAACAGGGUAACGAAUUCGAGUACUCGAAGUUCAUUAAUGUGUGAUGACACUAGUAAGGAAGGGUAAGAGGCGGCCAGGCAAGGAAGUCGCCGGACGGCGGCCGCUCGCGCCGCUCUCCUCCUCGCCUCCGACACGCCCUUCUGCUCCCUGCUGACCCUUCUGAGGCUUUGUCGACUUGGACGACUCCGUGGAUGAUGAUGCGGAAGAGGGUGAGGCGGAAGAUAAGAGGAAUCCUGUUCCAACCGCCGCUGAAAGGGUGGAUGGCCAGGAGGAGGAGGAGGAUAAGAGGAGGCAUCGUAGUAGGAUUGCCGUCAUCUUCUUCCUCUUGUGGUUGACCGUGAGGAAGGUUAGGGCGAAGUGGAUGAGGAAGAGGAACCGAUCAAUCCUCCAAAAAGCGCAGCUUUCUCCUAAGUGAGAAGUAUAGUGUUCUGUUCUACCUUCAUUCGCAAGCUGUUUCUUUGUUCCCUACACUUCAUUUUCUUCCCAAUCCAGUCUCGAUCAAAAUUGAUGAAGUGGAGUACUUGUUGAUGGGAAAUUGGACAUCUUGCAGAUUGAAAAUGUCCUCUGAAGAUUGAAAAGGCCUGUUUCAGGGGUAUUCAACAACGCAAUUUUGAUCUUCUCUUUGUAUUUGUUGUCCUUGACUCGAACGUUUUGGGUGGUGGCAGAAAGGAUACUGGUGCGGUUUUUGUGCAACCAGUGGAUAUCGAAGAGCUUCCUGAUUACUUUGAUGUGAUUGAACAUCCAAUGGACUUUGGGACCAUGCAGAAGAAAUUGGCAAGGAAUUGCGUUCACUCUUUUGAACAAUUUGAGGAUGAUGUCUUCUUGAUCUCUGGCAACGCUAUGCAGUAUAAUGCACCAGACACAAUAUACUUUAGAGAGGAAUUAGGUGGUGGUUAUGAUCUUUGCCUUGGUACCUUCAAGAUUAAUGGUUAGCUAGUCAAACAUUUCAAAGAGUUCUGAUUCCUCUAAAGCUUCUCCAUCAGCUGUUCCAUCAACCUGCAGAAUCUACCAGAUUAUGUUGCUGCUCAAACAUGGAUAGCGGCUGGAUCUUUGUAACAAUUUAAAUGAAUCUGUUUCUAUGGUUUCCUAUGACUGUUGGAUGACACUGAACUCAUGCUUCCUAUGUCUCAAAUCCAGACAGUUGAUUGGAACAUCAGGCUAUUGAUAAAGGAAUGGUUAUCUUCCCUCAACUAAUCGCAGACAAUAUAUCAAGAUUUUGGAAUCAGAGUCCGCAGCAACCUGCAAGGUUCAGUUCCAUGAACCACAAACAAACGUAAUAAGUAUAUAUUUCCUCCAGAUCUUAAUAUUAGUUUCCAGCCUCGACCUCCUGGAUCACCUGCUUAGCUGCUCUCCACUCCUGCGAUUCAUAAGAACUCUCAGCAGCCAGACUUAGCUUUGCAACUCUGACAUACCUUGUUUGAUUCUGCAAUAUUCUCCAUGCAGGAAAUUGUUCCUGUCAUGUGAUGCAGAAGGAAUGUUAAAAUUAUUAAUGCUAAGAUGCUCUAACACCCGAUAGAGUUUCUUUAUGCCUGGAAGAUCAGUAAGGUAUUGGAAAAGAGAACUCAUCCUAACAGAAACUGCUUAGUCACCUGAUCUUUGCUUGAUCAUCACACCUUUGGUUGGAAAUUGAUUCUUGAGCUAUGGUCAUGACUCAGGAUAUAUAUAUUGAGAUGAACUGUGUGUGUUAGCUGUUGGUUCUUGGUGAUAUUGUAAGUUUUCUUCCUUCAUCACGGUAUAAUCGUCAAAGAUAUCUUCUUGGAGUCAACUAUGGUGCAUUUGCCGUGCAACCUUUGAAGAAACCAAAAUUGUAGGAAAGGGAUAUUUCUCAUUGUUAGAGCACUAGUUGAGUUUACUUGUUGGCAUUCGGUGGUCGAUCAAAGUCUUCAAGGUGAAAGAGGUGACCAUGGAAGGCUCCUUAGGUCAUGUUGUAAUCAGUAAUUCGCCUCUCAUUCUCUACUAAUGUGGAACCUCAUUUCAUCAAAUUCCAAUCGCCAAACGUGUAUUUUAGAUGUUGUUAGAGCCAACUUAUCCUGUUUUCUGAGAUGGAUAAGCAUUUCACUCCUCUUGAGUUGAGUGUGUGCUUAGAGUUCGAUCAUCUGUCUUGAAGGUAAUAGUGGUGAAGAUUAAAAGGACUCUCAAGGGUAAAAGACUCAUUUUGAUAA